UACGUAGGGUGCAAGCGUUGUCCGGAAUUAUUGGGCGUAAAGAGCUCGUAGGCGGUCUGUCGCGUCGGCUGUGAAAACCCGGGACUCAACCCCGGGCCUGCAGUCGAUACGGGCAGACUAGAGUGCGGUAGGGGAGACUGGAAUUCCUGGUGUAGCGGUGAAAUGCGCAGAUAUCAGGAGGAACACCGGUGGCGAAGGCGGGUCUCUGGGCCGUAACUGACGCUGAGGAGCGAAAGCGUGGGGAGCGAACAGG
rnacentral:rRNA from 1 species